rnacentral:rRNA from 1 species
UACGGGGGGGGCAAGCGUUGUUCGGAAUUACUGGGCGUAAAGGGCUUGUAGGUGGCCAACUAAGUCAGACGUGAAAUCCCUCGGCUUAACCGGGGAACUGCGUCUGAUACUGGAUGGCUAGAGUUUGGGAGAGGGAUGCGGAAUUCCAGGUGUAGCGGUGAAAUGCGUAGAUAUCUGGAGGAACACCGGUGGCGAAGGCGGCAUCCUGGACCGACACUGACGCUGAAAAGCGAAAGCCAGGGGAGCAAACGGG